UGCAGCUCUUGAAGAUGGUGGGCAGCAGGAAGUUGAGCAGAGCCCAGAGCUCGGGCAGUUUGUUCUGCAGCGGGGUGCCGGUCAGCAGCAGGCGGCGCGGCGCCACGUAGUGCGUGUUCAGCACCUGGGUCAGCUUGCAGUGGUGGUUCUUCAUGCGGUGGCCCUCGUCCACAAUCAUGUACUUCCAGCGGAUCUUGGCGAGGAUGUGCU
rnacentral:lncRNA from 1 species